rnacentral:rRNA from 1 species
GACGAGGGGUGCAAGCGUUAUUCGGAGUAAUUGGGCGUAAAGGGUGCGUAGGCGGUGCAUUAAGUCGACUGUUAAAUUCCCCAGCCUAACUGGGGACCCGCGGUCGAUACUGGUGUGCUUGAGGAUGAAAGAGAGAAGUGGAAUUCUCGGAGUAGCGGUAAAAUGCGUAGAUCUCGAGAGGAACACCAAUGGCGAAGGCAGCUUCUUGGUUCAUUCCUGACGCUGAGGCACGAAAGCGCGGGGAGCAAACAGG